CAGUACUGUUAGCAGUGUCUAGAUAUACAGAUUCCUUAACAUUCUUGCCCAAACCUGAUAUUGCCUGUUUCUUUUUAAGUUUUGCCUCUUUUGUAAGCACUUUAAAACCUUUUUAAAAGAUCUUUCAUAUUUAUGUAUCACUAAGGAGUACAUUCGUAACUGUUAGGGAUUGAAUAGUGUUCCCCCAGAUUCAAAUAUUGAAGCCCUAACCCCCACUACCUUAGAACUGGACUGAAUUUAAAGAUGGAGCAUUUAAAGUUGUUAUUACAUUUAAAGGAAGUGGUUUGUAUCUGCUCCAAGUCAAUAUCAUUGAUGUGUUUCAUAAGAUUAGCCCAUAAGGGAGUGGGGUGGGGAUCAUACACAGGCACACAGAGAUGUUCCUGUGAAGAUUCCUGAAGAUGCACAGUCAUCUACUAGGCAAGGAGAGAAGGGAAUCAGAAUGUCAGCUCCUUAGACCUCUAGCCUCCAGAAUUGGGAAGAAAUGAAUUCCUUUUGUUUUAUCCUCCCAUUUUGUGGUAUUUGCAGCUCUAGUAAACUCAUACAUUUUUAGACAAUCUUCUUAAAUUAUUGCUGAGUAGCUAGUACACUUACAUUACAUCAGUGGAGCCAGGCACAAUGGUACAUGUGUAUAAUCCAAGGUAUUUGGGAGGCUGGGGUAGGAAGAGAGGCUGAAGGAGGAGGAUUGCAUGUUUGAGGCCACACAUAGCAAUUUAGUGAUAUCCUG
rnacentral:lncRNA from 1 species